UACGUAGGGGGCGAGCGUUGUCCGGAAUCAUUGGGCGUAAAGCGCGUGUAGGCGGUUCAGUAAGUCUGCUGUGAAAGUCCAAGGCUCAACCUUGGGAUGCCGGUGGAUACUGCUGGACUAGAGUCUGGAAGGGGCGAGUGGAAUUCCUGGUGUAGCGGUGGAAUGCGCAGAUAUCAGGAGGAACACCUAUGGCGAAGGCAGCUCGCUGGGACAGUACUGACGCUGAGACGCGAAAGCGUGGGGAGCAAACAGGAUUAGAUACCCUGGUAGUCCACGCCGUAAACGAUGGAUACUAGGUGUGGGGGGUGUCAACUCCCUCCGUGCCGACGCUAACGCAUUAAGUAUCCCGCCUGGGGAGUACGGCCGCAAGGCUAAA
rnacentral:rRNA from 1 species